rnacentral:misc_RNA from 1 species
UCUCUCUCUCUCUCUCUCUCAUCCUCUCCCCUCUUGUUGGUGUGGAUUGAAGAAGCAGGUUAGUCUCUCUCCCUCCUUUUUCUUUCUUUUAUAUUGAAAAUCUUUUUAGAAAUAUGGAGCAUGACAAGUUCCCAGCUUCUUGCAUCUGGCAACUUUAGCAUAGAGUCGGUCCACUUCACUGCAAUUGCACUUUCUUCACUGUGACUUUGUUUUCUUGAACUCUUCAUAAGCCAUAACAUAUGGCAAUACCCAGAAUGGAAUAUUCAGUAGGACACGUGCAAAAUGAAAGAAGAGUCGUAGACUCGGGAAGCCAUCCACACUUAUUUCUUUCUCCUUCAGAAACAAAAUCCCUAGCUAUUCUCUUUGCAAAUAUCCCUUUGCAUAACUGUUCUUUGUUUUUCUACCUAUUUCACAAUUACUUUUCAGUCCAUUUCCAUUUCUGGUAGCGCAAGUCAUAUUAUUUGGUUAUGUAUAUGCAGAAUUAGUUUUACCUUUUAUUCUCUAAUAUAAGAUAAAUUAAUUUAUGCAUGCAGAAUUAAGAAAAGGAGUUUUUUUAACAGAUUCAUCAGGGUUUCUUGAGGACACUUCUAUUUAUAUAAUUGCAGAGGAUUUUUCUAAACUUUAAUGACUUAAAAUCUUGCCAUUUUUCAGUCUUUAAUACAGUACUCUCAGCAGCCGGCCUUGUCAUUUUUUUCCUUGUUAUUUCUGUGCUACUUAGGCAUGUUGGACACGGCAAAUUAAAAUUGGCAAUCUAUCAAUGUUGAAAAUCUCCUUCAGCUACUGUUAGGUUUGGGACAGCAAAACUUACCAAAAUUUUCCUCUUGAAAUUAUUUCUCCAUUCAAGGACUUUUACUUCCACCUAUCACAAUUGUUGAUUUUUCUUCCUUCGCUGUUUAAGUCUAUAGAGUGACAUAUUAAGCUAGCUACUAUGCAUAUGACUGUAUUACAAUGGGCGCCAAUCAAGAAUCAUAAGUAUGUGUCAUCUGUUUGUUCAUCUGUCUAAUUUGUCCAUCGGUUUAGUUGACCAAAAU